GUAGGUGGCAAGCGUUGUCCGGAAUUAUUGGGCGUAAAGCGCGCGCAGGGCGGUCCUUUAAGUCUGAUGUGAAAGCCCACGGCUCAACCGUGGAGGGUCAUUGGAAACUGGGGGACUUGAGUACAGAAGAGGAAAGCGGAAUUCCAAGUGUAGCGGUGAAAUGCGUAGAGAUUUGGAGGAACACCAGUGGCGAAGGCGGCUUUCUGGUCUGUAACUGACGCUGAGGCGCGAAAGCGUGGGGAGCAAACAGGAUUAGAUACCCCGGUAGUCCACGCCGUAAACGAUGAGUGCUAAGUGUUAGGGGGUUUCCGCCCCUUAGUGCUGCAGCUAACGCAUUAAGCACUCCGCCUGGGGAGUACGGCCGCAAAGGCUG
rnacentral:rRNA from 1 species